GAUGCUUGAUUGAACCGCAUGGUUCAAUUAUAAAAGGUGGCUUUUAGCUACCACUUACAGAUGGACCCGCGGCGCAUUAGCUAGUUGGUGAGGUAACGGCUCACCAAGGCAACGAUGCGUACCCAACCUGAGAGGGUGAUCGGCCACACUGGGACUGAAACACGGCCCAAACUCCUACGGGAGGCAGCAGUAGGGAAUCUUCCGCAAUGGACAAAAGUCUGACGGAGCAACGCCGCGUGAGUGAUGAAGGUUUUCGGAUCGAAAAACUCUGUUGUUAGGGAAAAACAAGUACCGUUCAAAUAGGGCGGUACCUUGACGGUACCUAACCAAAAAGCCACGGCUAACUACGUGCCAGCAGCCGCGGUAAUACGUAGGUGGCAAGCGUUGUCCGGAAUUAUUGGGCGUAAAGCGCGCGCAGGCGGUUUCUUAAGUCUGAUGUGAAAGCCCCCGGCUCAACCGGGGAGGGUCAUUGAAAACUGGGGAACUUGAGUGCAGAAGAGGAGAGUGGAAUUCCACGUGUAGCGGUGAAAUGCGUAGAGAUGUGGAGGAACACCAGUGGCGAAGGCGACUCUCUGGUCUGUAACUGACGCUGAGGCGCGAAAGCGUGGGGAGCGAACAGGAUUAGAUACCCUGGUAGUCCACGCCGUAAACGAUGAGUGCUAAGUGUUAGAGGGUUUCCGCCCUUUAGUGCUGCAGCAAACGCAUUAAGCACUCCGCCUGGGGAGUACGGUCGCAAGACUGAAACUCAAAGGAAUUGACGGGGGCCCGCACAAGCGGUGGAGCAUGUGGUUUAAUUCGAAGCAACGCGAAGAACCUUACCAGGUCUUGACAUCCUCUGACACCCCUAGAGAUAGGGCUUCCCCUUCGGGGGCAGAGUGACAGGUGGUGCAUGGUUGUCGUCAGCUCGUGUCGUGAGAUGUUGGGUUAAGUCCCGCAACGAGCGCAACCCUUGAUCUUAGUUGCCAGCAUUCAGUUGGGCACUCUAAGGUGACUGCCGGUGACAAACCGGAGGAAGGUGGGGAUGACGUCAAAUCAUCAUGCCCCUUAUGACCUGGGCUACACACGUGCUACAAUGGGCAGAACAAAGGGCAGCGAAGCCGCGAGGCUAAGCCAAUCCCACAAAUCUGUUCUCAGUUCGGAUCGCAGUCUGCAACUCGACUGCGUGAAGCUGGAAUCGCUAGUAAUCGCGGAUCAGCAUGCCGCGGUGAAUACG
rnacentral:rRNA from 1 species